AUUGAACGCUGGCGGCAUGCCUUACACAUGCAAGUCGAACGGUAACAGGUCUUCGGAUGCUGACGAGUGGCGAACGGGUGAGUAAUACAUCGGAACGUGCCCGUUCUUGGGGGAUAACGGAGCGAAAGCUUUGCUAAUACCUCAUACGAUCUACGGAUGAAAGCAGGGGACCGCAAGGCCUUGCGCGGACGGAGCGGCCGAUGGCAGAUUAGGUAGUUGGUGGGAUAAAAGCUUACCAAGCCGACGAUCUGUAGCUGGUCUGAGAGGACGACCAGCCACACUGGGACUGAGACACGGCCCAGACUCCUACGGGAGGCAGCAGUGGGGAAUUUUGGACAAUGGGCGAAAGCCUGAUCCAGCAAUGCCGCGUGCAGGAUGAAGGCCUUCGGGUUGUAAAGUGCUUUUGUACGGAACGAAAAGACUCGUUCUAAUAAAGAGGGUCCAUGACGGUACCGGAAGAAUAAGCACCGGCUAACUACGUG
rnacentral:rRNA from 1 species